UCGAUAUGAAAAUGGGUCCUGGCAUUGUAACAUCAGCGGCUGAUAAAUCAAGGGAUACGUGAGGCUGCGCAGUAUCAUUUUAUAUCAACAUAAGCAUGUAUCCAGAUGGCGGCCACACAAUAAAGGAGUACAUUAGUCACCCAAGCAGACAAACUGCGAUAUAUCCUAAGGACAGAAUGUAGAUCAGCAAACUCUUCCCGUGUCUUGUGCAAACUCUUGGCUGAUCAAUCUUGAAGAAUGCUUCAUCAUAACUGCAGGCAACACAUGACCUUUUCUAUCAAGAAAUUGUAUUCGCCAUAGAGUUGUGAAGCUAAUUUUUCAGGUUCAGUUUUAAAAAAUUGUUUAUUCUAAGAUAAAUUGAAAAUUAAAUGUCUUAAACAAGAAUAA